CGGUAAUACGGAGGAUCCAAGCGUUAUCCGGAAUCAUUGGGUUUAAAGGGUCCGUAGGCGGUUUAGUAAGUCAGUGGUGAAAGCCCAUCGCUCAACGGUGGAACGGCCAUUGAUACUGCUAGACUUGAAUUAUUAGGAAGUAACUAGAAUAUGUAGUGUAGCGGUGAAAUGCUUAGAGAUUACAUGGAAUACCAAUUGCGAAGGCAGGUUACUACUAAUGGAUUGACGCUGAUGGACGAAAGCGUGGGUAGCGAACAGGAUUAGAUACCCUGGUAGUCCACGCCGUAAACGAUGGAUACUAGCUGUUGGGAGCAAUCUCAGUGGCUAAGCGAAAGUGGUAAGUAUCCCACCUGGGGAGUACGUUCGCAAGAAUGAA
rnacentral:rRNA from 1 species